UUCAACAUUCAUUAUCCGUAUACUCUGAAAAUAACACCGAGUAACUUACGGGUUAUUCAUUAUUUUAGGAUUAAGCUCAAUAUAAAUUUUUGCGGAAUAGCACAGACAACCGGAAUUAUCUUAUAAAAAAAGCCGAUAAUAAUAUCGGCUCUAAUUACAGAU
rfam:Citrobacter koseri ATCC BAA-895, complete genome.